rnacentral:lncRNA from 1 species
GAGGCAUUCUGAUCCCCCAUCACCAUACCAUGAUGGACAAAUACACAGUGAUUCUUUUCCGUCAAGAUCAGGGGUUGAGGAGGACCUUUCUCCACCUCGAAGGGGACAGCGUAGGAGUCCAAACCUUUCUCCACCUCAAAGGGGACAACGUAGGAGUCCAGAUCUUUCUCCACCUCGAAGAGGACAACGUAGGAGUCCAGACCUUUCUCCACCUCGAAGGGGACAGCGUAGGAUUUCAAACCUUUCUCCACCUCAAAGGGGACAACAUAGGAGUCCAGAUCUUUCUCCACCUCGAAGGGGACAACGUAGGAGUCCAGAUCUUUCUCCACCUCGAAGGGGACAACGUAGGAGUCCAGAUCUUUCUCCACCUCGAAGGGGACAACGUAGGAGUCCAGACCUUUCUCCACCUCGAAGGGGACAACGUAGGAGUCCCGACCUUUCUCCAAGUUUAACGGGACAGUGUAGGAGUUCAGACCUUUCUCAACCACGGAGGAGAAGAAGUCCAGAUCUUUCUCCACUUCGAAAACAUAGUCAGGAGCACUUUGAUAAACAGAGGAGACAGCACAAUUUACUUGACAGUCAAAUAUCACA